UUCCACCAAAAAAAAUUGCACAUACAAUUUAAUGGCCAAUUUGCAUAAAAAAUCCACUUAUUUUGGAUUUUGCAAAACCGGACCACCUUUUUCGUUUUUGCAGAUUCGGUCCGCUUUUUCCGCCGCCUGACCAAAAUGCUCCUCCUAUACAAUAGCCUCCCGCGCGUAUUUCUUGACAUACGUACACUACCCUACUACCCUGCCGUACGGUCUGGCGCGCAUUAAAUGACCGCUUAUUUCUCGGAACCCGGACAACAUCCGCCCCCGCUAUUCGUCUGCCCCGCUGUUUCCUGUUCUGCUUAAGACUUUACGAAAUUUUCGAACGCUAUUGACAAAUAGUGCGCGCUCCGCAACAGGGAUAAUAGUGAAAUGUGAAGUCUACGAAAUGAGAAAUGGUGCAACCGACCUCUAUAACAGUGCAUCCUAGCCUCGUUCCAGUGCAAACAAACCAUAAUCAGUCAAAAUUUUACUUUCUCCAUUUCUUAAUAUAAUCUGAACUUAAAAGUGCAAAUGAACGGCGUCCCCUCCAAAUGCAGGCGAAGCAUCGGCUGUGCAGGACGGUCGCUGCCGGGUAGGACGGUCGGCGAUGUGCGACAAAAGAGUCGGCAGGCCAGGAAGCUCUGCGGCGGGGCUGGACGGUCGCCGGCGGGGUUCGGAGUUCGAGAGGGGCGACAUAACGGCUAAACGAUUGUGUAAAGUUUUCCUAUAAAAGAUCACGCGUCCUUUUGCUUGUUAAAUAAGUUCACAGUUAAGCGCGAAUAAUAGUGCAAGGCAGUGUUAAUUACAGAAAAAUAUUUUUCAAAAGAGUGCAAAGAAGCUCGUAAGAGUGCAAUACGGGAAAAUAACAGUCUAAUGAAUUUUAUCUACGAGUGCAACGAAACCUGUAAGAGUGCAAUACGGUAGUAAUACAGUGCAACUCAGAUCAAAUGAGUUCAAGAUUCUCCGCUAAAGCGUGUAACAGUAUGAUAUGUAGUACAAAAUUUUCACAGAUUUGGUGUUAAUUUUUAAUUUAAUCUUAAGGUAAUAGUGCAAAUGAAAGGACAUGGUGACGUCGAAUAUAGCGGUGUGAAGUAGAAGGAGG
rnacentral:lncRNA from 1 species